UACAGAGGGGGCAAGCGUUGUUCGGAAUUACUGGGCGUAAAGGGCGCGUAGGCGGCCUUCUAAGUCGAACGUGAAAUCCCCGGGCUCAACCCGGGAACUGCGUCCGAUACUGGAAGGCUUGAAUCCGGGAGAGGGAUGUGGAAUUCCAGGUGUAGCGGUGAAAUGCGUAGAGUAUCUGGAGGAACACCGGUGGCGAAGGCGACAUCCUGGACCGGUAUUGACGCUGAGGCGCGAAAGCCAGGGGAGCAAAGCGGG
rnacentral:rRNA from 1 species